rnacentral:rRNA from 1 species
GAUGAACGCUGGCGGCGUGCCUAAUACAUGCAAGUCGAGCGAACGGACGAGAAGCUUGCUUCUCUGAUGUUAGCGGCGGACGGGUGAGUAACACGUGGAUAACCUACCUAUAAGACUGGGAUAACUUCGGGAAACCGGAGCUAAUACCGGAUAAUAUUUUGAACCGCAUGGUUCAAAAGUAAAAGACGGUCUUGCUGUCACUUAUAGAUGGAUCCGCGCUGCAUUAGCUAGUUGGUAAGGUAACGGCUUACCAAGGCAACGAUGCAUAGCCGACCUGAGAGGGUGAUCGGCCACACUGGAACUGAGACACGGUCCAGACUCCUACGGGAGGCAGCAGUAGGGAAUCUUCCGCAAUGGGCGAAAGCCUGACGGAGCAACGCCGCGUGAGUGAUGAAGGUCUUCGGAUCGUAAAACUCUGUUAUUAGGGAAGAACAUAUGUGUAAGUAACUGUGCACAUCUUGACGGUACCUAAUCAGAAAGCCACGGCUAACUACGUGCCAGCAGCCGCGGUAAUACGUAGGUGGCAAGCGUUAUCCGGAAUUAUUGGGCGUAAAGCGCGCGUAGGCGGUUUUUUAAGUCUGAUGUGAAAGCCCACGGCUCAACCGUGGAGGGUCAUUGGAAACUGGAAAACUUGAGUGCAGAAGAGGAAAGUGGAAUUCCAUGUGUAGCGGUGAAAUGCGCAGAGAUACGGAGGAACACCAGUGGCGAAGGCGACUUUCUGGUCUGUAACUGACGCUGAUGUGCGAAAGCGUGGGGAUCAAACAGGAUUAGAUACCCUGGUAGUCCACGCCGUAAACGAUGAGUGCUAAGUGUUAGGGGGUUUCCGCCCCUUAGUGCUGCAGCUAACGCAUUAAGCACUCCGCCUGGGGAGUACGACCGCAAGGUUGAAACUCAAAGGAAUUGACGGGGACCCGCACAAGCGGUGGAGCAUGUGGUUUAAUUCGAAGCAACGCGAAGAACCUUACCAAAUCUUGACAUCCUUUGACAACUCUAGAGAUAGAGCCUUCCCCUUCGGGGGACAAAGUGACAGGUGGUGCAUGGUUGUCGUCAGCUCGUGUCGUGAGAUGUUGGGUUAAGUCCCGCAACGAGCGCAACCCUUAAGCUUAGUUGCCAUCAUUAAGUUGGGCACUCUAAGUUGACUGCCGGUGACAAACCGGAGGAAGGUGGGGAUGACGUCAAAUCAUCAUGCCCCUUAUGAUUUGGGCUACACACGUGCUACAAUGGACAAUACAAAGGGCAGCGAAACCGCGAGGUCAAGCAAAUCCCAUAAAGUUGUUCUCAGUUCGGAUUGUAGUCUGCAACUCGACUACAUGAAGCUGGAAUCGCUAGUAAUCGUAGAUCAGCAUGCUACGGUGAAUACGUUCCCGGGUCU